rnacentral:rRNA from 1 species
GACGUAGGGAGCGAGCGUUGUCCGGAUUCAUUGGGCGUAAAGCGCGCGUAGGCGCCUCGCAAGUCGGUUGUGAAAUCCCGGGGCUCAACCCCGGGACUGCGUCCGAUACUGCGAGGCUGGAGGUAGGUAGGGGAGAUCGGAAUUCCUGGUGUAGCGGUGAAAUGCGCAGAUAUCAGGAGGAACACCGGUGGCGAAGGCGGAUCUCUGGGCCUUACCUGACGCUGAGGCGCGAAAGCUAGGGGAGCGAACAGG